rnacentral:rRNA from 1 species
AAUCAACGCUGGCGGCGUGCCUAACACAUGCAAGUCGAACGAGAAAGUGGAGCAAUCCAUGAGUAAAGUGGCGACCGGGUGAGUAACACGUGACUAACCUACCCUUGAGUGGGGAAUAACCUCGGGAAACCGGGGCUAAUACCGCAUAACAUUGCGCGGCUGAGAUGCCAUGCAAUCAAAGGAGCAAUUCGCUUAAGGAGGGGGUCGCGGUUGAUUAGCUAGUUGGUGGGGUAACGGCCCACCAAGGCAGUGAUCAAUAGCCGGCCUGAGAGGGCGC